GACGAAGGUGACAAGCGUUGUUCGGAAUCACUGGGCGUAAAGAGUUCGUAGGCGGCCUUGUAAGUCAGGUGUGAAAUCCUGCGGCUCAACCGCGGAAGUGCACCUGAUACUGCGAAGCUUGAGUGCAGGAGGGGAGAGUGGAAUUCCUGGUGUAGCGGUGAAAUGCGUAGAUAUCAGGAGGAACGCCGGUGGCGAAAGCGACUCUCUGGCCUGCAACUGACGCUGAGGAACGAAAGCUAGGGGAG
rnacentral:rRNA from 1 species